GGUUGUGUAGUGUAGCGGUUAUCACUUCAGAUUUUGAAAUUCUAUCAAUCAUUCUGAUAACCCCAGUUCGAAUCUGGGCACGACCU
rfam:Pseudocercospora fijiensis CIRAD86 unplaced genomic scaffold MYCFIscaffold_3, whole genome shotgun sequence.